CUUGCUUCUCUUGAGAGCGGCGGACGGGUGAGUAAUGCCUAGGAAUCUGCCUGGUAGUGGGGGAUAACGUCCGGAAACGGACGCUAAUACCGCAUACGUCCUACGGGAGAAAGCAGGGGACCUUCGGGCCUUGCGCUAUCAGAUGAGCCUAGGUCGGAUUAGCUAGUUGGUGGGGUAAUGGCUCACCAAGGCGACGAUCCGUAACUGGUCUGAGAGGAUGAUCAGUCACACUGGAACUGAGACACGGUCCAGACUCCUACGGGAGGCAGCAGUGGGGAAUAUUGGACAAUGGGCGAAAGCCUGAUCCAGCCAUGCCGCGUGUGUGAAGAAGGUCUUCGGAUUGUAAAGCACUUUAAGUUGGGAGGAAGGGCAGUAAAUUAAUACUUUGCUGUUUUGACGUUACCGACAGAAUAAGCACCGGCUAACUCUGUGCCAGCAGCCGCGGUAAUACAGAGGGUGCAAGCGUUAAUCGGAAUUACUGGGCGUAAAGCGCGCGUAGGUGGUUCGUUAAGUUGGAUGUGAAAUCCCCGGGCUCAACCUGGGAACUGCAUUCAAAACUGACGAGCUAGAGUAUGGUAGAGGGUGGUG
rnacentral:rRNA from 1 species